rnacentral:lncRNA from 1 species
UUUAGGCUUCACCCGUGUUGUCACGUGUCCGUCUAGGGUGCUGGCUCUGGCUGUGUGGGGUGCACCCACGUUGGCUUCCCACAAUGCCACCUGUCCUCGUAGGGGGCCCUUGGGUUUCUUUGGGGUAUGGCGGGGGCAGUGGGAUUGUCGGGCUGGUGGAUGGUACAGGUGAACUUGCUGAGUGCUGCCGUGGCUGCCCUGGAACUCCCCCUCCUGCUGCCUGGCCUGCCUGGCCAGCCCACCGGGCAUGAAGUGAGAAUAUGUAUUUAGUUAUCUUUUUCAAAGCAUUGGUUUUUGCUUUAGUUGAUCUCAUUUUUUUUGGCCAUGGCCGGAGCAUGUGAAAGUUCCAGGGCCAGAGACUGAACCCAAGGCACAGCAGUGACAACGCUGGAUCCUUAACCCACUGAGCCACCAGGAACUCCUAAGCUCACUUUUUACUUUUAUUUUUUUUAAUUAAUUACUUUAUUUAUUUUAGGGACUCACCCAUGGCAUAUGGAAGUUCCCAGGCUAGGAGUUGAAUCGGAGCUGUAGCCACUGGCCUACGCCAGAGCCACAGCAACGCAGGAUCCGAGCCGCGUCUGCAACCUACACCACAGCUCAUGGCAACGCCGGAUCGGUAACCCACUGAGCAAGGGCAGGGACCGAACCCGCAACCUCAUGGUUCCUAGUCGGAUUCGUUAACCACUGCGCUACGACGGGAACUCCAUUUUGAGUAAUUUUUGAGUAAUUUUUUUAUUAUUAUUCAAUUGUAAGUGUUUCUUUUUUUUUUUUCUUUUUACGGUUGCACCUGCGGCAUAUGGAAGUUCCCAGGGUACAUGUCUAAUUGGAGCUGCAGCUGCCGGUGUAUGUCACAGCCACAGCAACACCAGAUCCUUACUCACUGAGCGAGGCCAGGGAUCAAACCCGUAUCCUCACAGAGACAACGUCGGGGCCUCAACCCACUGCGUCACAAUGGGAACUCCCAAUUGUGUUUCUUAAUCAUGUUUUUAACCUAAGGAUUUUCCAAGGGUGUGUUAUUUGGUCUCAGACACAUAGGAUUUCUUUUAACAACUUUGUUGAGAUGUAAUUUACACACCAUAAAAUUCACCCGUUCCAAGUAUUCAGUGGAUUUUAGGGUAUUCACAGAGUUGUGCAACCAUCACCGUGGUCAAAUUUGGUCAGUCGCCCUAGAAAGAAACCUGUACCCUUUGUCAGUUACUCCCCGUUUCCCUGCCAGCACCCCCACCGCCAUUAUCCCUGUUUUCCUCUCUAGACCUGCCUCUUCUGGUCAUGGUGUGGAAGCGGCGUCGUACACUGUGUGGUCUUUGAUGACGGACUUCUCAGCGGCACCUUUCGAGGUUCAUCCAGCUUUCAGUGCCUGCCAGUCCGCUUCCGUUUUCUCUAUGGAGUCAUGGUCGGUUGUAUGGGUAGACUGCGUUUUUGAAAUGCAGUCUUCCUUUGGUAGACAUUUGGCUUGUUCCCACUUUGGCUUUUAUGAAUAAUGCGCGGUGGACAUUGGGGGACAGUUUCUGUGUGGACAUUUGUUUUCCUCUCUCUUGGGUGUGUGCCUGGGUGGACUUGCUGGCUCAUAUUGUAACUCUCCGUUUAAUCUUCUGAGGACUCGCUGGAUGAUUUUUCAAAGGCGCCGUAUCAUUUUGCAUUGCCAUGAGCUGUGGUGUAGGCCAGCAGCUGCAGCUCCAAUUCGAUCCCUAGCGUGGAAACUUCCAUAUGCCGCAGGUACAGCUCUAAAAACAACUGAUAAAUAAAAAUAAAAUGUAUCUUUUUAUUAUUGAGUUAUGAGUUCCUCAUAUAUUCUAGAUACAAGUCCUUUUUAUCAGAUAUAUGAUUUGCAAAAUUUUUUUUUUGGUAACAAUUUUCUCCAGUUGUGUAAGUUGUUUUUACACCUUCUUGAAGGUGUCAUUUGAAGCACAAAACCCACUUUUUUUCCUUUAUUUAAGUAUAGUUAAUUUACAGUGUUGUGUUAGUUUCGAGUGUACAGCAAAGUAACUCAGUUAUACCCAUGUAUAUUUUAUAUUUUUCCAUAUGGUUUAUCACAGGAUAUUGACUACAGUUCCCUGUGGUCUACAGGGACCUUGUUCAGCACAAAAACUAUUUUUGAGGAAGUCCAAUUUGUAUUUUGGUUUAUUUUUUUUUAAUUAUUUUUUUUUGUCUUUUUUGGCUGCCCCUUGGCAUAGAGAGUUACCUGGCCAGGGAUCAGAUUCGAGCAGCAGUCAUGACCUAAGCUCUGGCUGCAGCAAUGCUUGGAGCCUUAACCCACUGUACCAGGCCUGGGAUCGAACCAGCACUCCCAAGAAUUGGCAGAUCCUGAUGGCGCCAUGGCGAGAACUGUGUUUUCUUUUGUUGCUGUUGGUGAAAUAGCUAAGAAACCAUUGCCAAAUCCCAAAAUCAUGAUUUUUUUUCUUCUAAGAGUCUUAUAGUUAAAGCCCUUAAAUUUAGGUCUUUGAUCUGUUUUGGGUAAAUCUUUGUGUGUCGUGUGUAAGGGUCCACAUUUCUUCCUUUGCAUGCAGAUAUCUAGUUGUUCCAGCGUCAUAUAUUUUUUGGGCCACACUCAACAGCAUGUGGGAAGUUCCUGAGCCAGGGCUCGAACCCGCACCAUAGCAGCCACCUGCGCUGCUGCAGGGACAGCAUUGGAUCUUUAACCUGCUGGGUCACAGGAUAACUCCCCAGCGUCAUACCCUGAAAACGCUGUUCUAACCCCCAUUGAAUUGUUUUGGCAUCCUUGUCAAAAAGCAGUUGACUAAACGUGAGUGUUUGUUUAUUGACUCUCGUUCUGCUCCAUCAUCUCGAUGUUGCUCCGUAUCCUGGUCCACGUUGUCCUGAUUCCUGGGACUGUGCUGUAAAUUUUGAAAGUGGAAAGAAGGAGUGUUUCACCGUUGUUCGUCUUUAAGACUGUUUUGUCUUUCUCAAUCUCUCACUUUCCAUGUAGAUUUAAGGAUCAGCCUGUCUCUUGACAUAUGAGAUUUAAAAAAAUUAUCCUUGAGCUACUAAUUUCCAUACUUCAUUGUGUUGGGGGAGACAGCCUACAAGAUAAGGGCCGUUUGGAGGAUGUUGAGGCUUCUGGUAUUGAUUUAAUGUCUUUCUGGGGCUGCACCCAUGGAGGUUCCCAGGCGAGUGGUUGAAUCAGAGCUAUAGCCACUGGCCUACACCAGAGCCACAGCAAUGCCAGAUCCUUAACCCACUGAGCUAGGUCAGGGAUCGAACCUGCGUCCUCGUGGAUGCUAGUCAGAUUCAUUUCCGCUGAGCCACAAUGGGAACUCCUGAUUUAAUAUCUUUUUUUUUUUUUUUCUUUUUAGGGCCUUGCCUGCAGCAUAUGGAAGUUCCCAGGCUAGGGGUCGAAUCAGAGCUACAGCUGCUGGCCUACACCACAGCUACAGCAACACGGGAUCCGAGCCACAUCUGUGACCUACACUACAGGUCACAGCAAUGCUGGAUCCUUAACCCACUGAGCAAGGCCAGGGAUCAAACCUGCAUUCUCAUGAAUACUAGUUGGGUUGGUUUUCACUGAGCCAUGACAGAAACUCCCAAUUGAUUUAAUACAUUUAUAUUUGUAAGUGUCACGUGGUGUGUUCAAAAGGAAUUUAUAUUCUCUGUCCUUUGGGUGUAGAUUUAAUAUCUCUUUAACAGCUUGAGCUUAUUCCUAGUAUUAUUCCCCUUUUUACCUCUGCAGCUGUAAGAACUCAUACAGAGGGACCCCUUGCUGUCUCCAGUGGUCAUGGCUUGCAAAACUGGCACAGAAAAAUCACAACCAGGAAUUGACACUGAUACCGUCCACCACUGUUAUUCUUGCUUCUGGAGUUCUGUUUGUAGCGUGCGUUUAGGCAUUGAGUUCUGGACAGUUUGUCGUCUGUGUGGGUUCCAUAACGCGCUAUCACAGACAGGUGGCUGCACGGUUCCGAAGCUGCGAGGAUUCUCACGUUGCCUUUUUAUGGCCACACGCGUUUCUCUCCCUCCUCCUGUCCCUCCUCAUGCCUGACCACUGGCAACCCUGAAUUUGUCCUCCAUUUCUAAAGUUUUUCAUUUCAAAAAUGUCAUAUAUCAAUGGAAUCAUACAGUUGAUAACCUUUUGGGAUUGGCUUUUUAUGCCCAGCGGUAAUAUGCUCAGCAAAAAAAAAAA